UACAGAGGGGGCAAGCGUUGUUCGGAAUUACUGGGCGUAAAGGGCGCGUAGGCGGCCUGCUAAGUCGAACGUGAAAUCCCCGAGCUCAACUCGGGAACUGCGUCCGAUACUGGCAGGCUUGAAUCCGGGAGAGGGAUGCGGAAUUCCAGGUGUAGCGGUGAAAUGCGUAGAUAUCUGGAGGAACACCGGUGGCGAAGGCGGCAUCCUGGACCGGCAUUGACGCUGAGGCGCGAAAGCGUGGGGAGCAAACAGG
rnacentral:rRNA from 1 species